AGGGUUUGAUCCUGGCUCAGGACGAACGCUGGCGGCGUGCCUAAUACAUGCAAGUCGAACGAGAUCCCGGAGCCUGCUCCGGGGGACAGUGGCGAACGGGUGAGUAACACGUGAGAAACCUGCCCUAGAGACCGGGACAACCGUUGGAAACGGCGGCUAAUACCGGAUGCCUUCACAUGGUCGCAUGGCCGAGUGAAGAAAUGCUCAGGUGCUCUAGGAGGGUCUCGCGGCCUAUCAGCUAGUUGGUGAGGUAACGGCUCACCAAGGCAUCGACGGGUAGCUGGUCUGAGAGGACGAUCAGCCACACUGGGACUGAGACACGGCCCAGACUCCUACGGGAGGCAGCAGUAGGGAAUCUUGCGCAAUGGGGGCAACCCUGACGCAGCAACGCCGCGUGUGGGGCGACGGCUUUCGGGUUGUAAACCACUUUCAGUGAUGACGAAAAUGACGGUAAUCACAGAAGAAGGUCCGGCCAACUACGUGCCAGCAGCCGCGGUAAUA
rnacentral:rRNA from 1 species